CCCCCCAGCGCCGCAGCUCUCCGCCCCCUUCCCGAGUAGCGGGACCGGCCUUGAUGGAGGAGGAAGGCAGAGGCGGGCUGGUGUCUCUGGCCGGGGACUGGAAUUUCAUCUGAAUGACUGCCCCUGCGCGCACGCAGCGCCCCGGAGUCGGCCCGCCCGCGCCCCGCAGCCCGCGCCCGGCCAGCCAGCCGGGGGACGCCUGCACCGUGGCCCGGGGACCGCCGGCCUGCCCCUCCCGCCCCGUCCGGAUCUAGCAGCCCUCGGCGCGGCCGCCCUCGCCUCCUGGCCCCGCAGACCCCGGGCUCCGGCCCCUGCGAGGGAGGUGCGGCGCCGACGAGCCAGGCAGGAGCCGCCGCUGCCGCCGCCGCCGGAAGAAGUGUGCUGCUCCCAAGCUCCGUCUGCCGCGGGGCGCGCCCCAAUGUCAGCCGCGGGGACGAGCGCAGGCCGCGGGCCGCCACUGCCCUAGCCGCGCCGACGGGGAGGCGGCCUCUUAUAUGGAAUUUGGACCCCGGCGCUCCCCUCCAAGGCUGGAGUCCCGGCCGCGGCCCUGGCGCAGUCCGCCGCCUCCCGCUAGGCGCUCGGGAGGAGGAGGAGACGCAGCCCGCUGCGCGCGCGGCGUGAGGACCGCGGCUCCCUCCUCCGGGGGGCGGGCACGCGGAAGG
rnacentral:lncRNA from 1 species